UACAGAGGUCCCGAGCGUUGUUCGGAUUCAUUGGGCGUAAAGGGUGCGUAGGUGGCGCGCUAAGUCGGGUGUGAAAUUUCGGAGCUUAACUCCGAAACUGCAUUCGAUACUGGUGUGCUUGAGGACUGGAGAGGAGACUGGAAUUCAUGGUGUAGCAGUGAAAUGCGUAGAGAUCGUGAGGAAGACCAGUGGCGAAGGCGGGUCUCUGGACAGUUCCUGACGCUGAGGCGCGAAGGCCAGGGGAGCAAACGGG
rnacentral:rRNA from 1 species